rnacentral:rRNA from 1 species
GAUGAACGCUGGCGGCGUGCCUAAUACAUGCAAGUCGAGCGAAUGGAUUAAGAGCUUGCUCUUAUGAAGUUAGCGGCGGACGGGUGAGUAACACGUGGGUAACCUGCCCAUAAGACUGGGAUAACUCCGGGAAACCGGGGCUAAUACCGGAUAACAUUUUGAACCGCAUGGUUCGAAAUUGAAAGGCGGCUUCGGCUGUCACUUAUGGAUGGACCCGCGUCGCAUUAGCUAGUUGGUGAGGUAACGGCUCACCAAGGCAACGAUGCGUAGCCGAGCUGAGAGGGUGAUCGGCCACACUGGGACUGAGACACGGCCCAGACUCCUACGGGAGGCAGCAGUAGGGAAUCUUCCGCAAUGGACGAAAGUCUGACGGAGCAACGCCGCGUGAGUGAGGAAGGCUUUCGGGUCGUAAAACUCUGUUGUUAGGGAAGAGCAAGUGCUAGUUGAAUAAGCUGGCACCUUGACGGUACCUAACCAGAAAGCCACGGCUAACUACGUGCCAGCCGCCGCGGUAA